UAUGCCUGAUGUAGCUGGUGAUUGUGUCUCCUCCCAUUGGUUAAAGCUCAACUGUACAUUCUAAUACAGUUAGCUCAUUGGGACAAACUAGAAGAGGGACUGUCUAGUUAGGGUUUCUGAUGUUGUAAAGAGAUUCCAUGACCAAGGCAACUCUUAAUUGGGGCUGGCUUCAAGGUUCAGAGCUUCAGUUCAUUGUCAUCACAGUGGGAGCAUGGUAGCAUGUAGGCAUGUAUGGUGCUGGAGGAGCUGAGUGUUCUUAUUGACCUGAAGGCUGCUAGA
rnacentral:lncRNA from 1 species